rnacentral:rRNA from 1 species
GGAGGAGCACGAAGGUUGGCUAAUCCUGGUCGGACAUCAGGAGGUUAGUGCAAUGGCAUAAGCCAGCUUGACUGCGAGCGUGACGGCGCGAGCAGGUGCGAAAGCAGGUCAUAGUGAUCCGGUGGUUCUGAAUGGAAGGGCCAUCGCUCAACGGAUAAAAGGUACUCCGGGGAUAACAGGCUGAUACCGCCCAAGAGUUCAUAUCGACGGCGGUGUUUGGCACCUCGAUGUCGGCUCAUCACAUCCUGGGGCUGAAGUAGGUCCCAAGGGUAUGGCUGUUCGCCAUUUAAAGUGGUACGCGAGCUGGGUUUAGAACGUCGUGAGACAGUUCGGUCCCUAUCUGCCGUGGGCGCUGGAGAACUGAGGGGGGCUGCUCCUAGUACGAGAGGACCGGAGUGGACGCAUCACUGGUGUUCGGGUUGUCAUGCCAAUGGCACUGCCCGGUAGCUAAAUGCGGAAGAGAUAAGUGCUGAAAGCAUCUAAGCACGAAACUUGCC